UACAGAGGUCCCGAGCGUUGUUCGGAUUCACUGGGCGUAAAGGGUGCGUAGGCGGUCGGGUAAGUCUGAUGUGAAAUCUCACAGCUUAACUGUGAAACUGCAUUGGAUACUAUUCGGCUUGAGGUCUGGAGGGGGGACUGGAAUUCUCGGUGUAGCAGUGAAAUGCGUAGAGAUGCGGAGGAACACCGAUGGCGAAGGCAGCCCCCUGGGCUAACACUGACGCUCAGGCACGAAAGCGUGGGGAGCAAACAGG
rnacentral:rRNA from 1 species